rnacentral:rRNA from 1 species
GACGAACGCUGGCGGCGUGCUUAACACAUGCGAGUCGAACGGAAAGGCCCUGCUUUUGUGGGGUGCUCGAGUGGUGAACGGGUGAGUAACACGUGAGUAACCUGCCCUUGACUUUGGGAUAACUUCAGGAAACUGGGGCUAAUACCGGAUAGGAGCUCCUGCUGCAUGGUGGGGGUUGGAAAGUUUCGGCGGUUGGGGAUGGACUCGCGGCUUAUCAGCUUGUUGGUGGGGUAGUGGCUUACCAAGGCUUUGACGGGUAGCCGGCCUGAGAGGGUGACCGGCCACAUUGGGACUGAGAUACGGCCCAGACUCCUACGGGAGGCAGCAGUGGGGAAUAUUGCACAAUGGGCGGAAGCCUGAUGCAGCAACGCCGCGUGCGGGAUGACGGCCUUCGGGUUGUAAACCGCUUUCGCCUGUGACGAAGCGUGAGUGACGGUAAUGGGUAAAGAAGCACCGGCUAACUACGUC